GAUGAAGAACGUAGCGAAAUGCGAUAAGUAAUGUGAAUUGCAGAAUUCAGUGAAUCAUCGAAUCUUUGAACGCACAUUGCGCCCGCCAGUAUUCUGGCGGGCAUGCCUGUUCGAGCGUCAUUUCAACCAUCAAGCCCCAGGCUUGCGUUGGGGUCCUGCGGCUGCCCGCAGGCCCUGAAAACCAGUGGCGGGCUCGCUAGUCACACCGAGCGCAGUAAUACAUCUCGCUUUGGGCGUGCGGCGGGUUCUUGCCGUUAAACACCCCCUUUUUACCAAGGUUGACCUCGGAUCAGGUAGGAAUACCCGCUGAACUUAAGCAUAUCAAUAAGCGGAGGA
rnacentral:misc_RNA from 1 species